rnacentral:pre_miRNA from 1 species
AAUAAAUUAAUCUUUCACUUUUUAGCUACGAUGUUUGAUGCUUCGUCUUAUUCAAAAUAAUUAUGAUUAAUAUUUUUGUUUUUAUUAGAUGAUAAAUCAUGAAUAGUACUUUAUGUGUGAUUAUUUUUUUUAACUUCUUAAAUUUUUUAAAUAAGACGGAUGGUCAAACGCUGAACACAGUUGAUCAAAAGUUUGCCUUAUU